rnacentral:rRNA from 1 species
CGGACGGGACCGCAAAGUCCGCCCCCGGCAUUCAGCUCGUCCUCUCCCGGGCGCCCCCGCCCCGAGACCCGAAUCCUUUGCGGGCCUUGGCGGGGUCGCUCACCGGGAGAAUGAGGCGCGUGCACUUGCCGGGGUUCAGCGGAGCGCCAGGACCGGCUAGGUUCGGAGGCGAGAAGGCCGCGUGGGAUGGUAGCCCGCCCUCCGCGGCGGGUGGUAUAGCCCCGCGAGUCGCAGGCCCUCCGCCUGGCCGAGGAAGGAUCCGCGCCUGCCUCUAGGCUGGUGGCCCGGGGCCGCCCGUUGCCUCGUCCGUGGGAGGACUGCUUGCAUGUGCUUUUUCCCGCGGCCGGGGUCGGGACGGACUCCGGCGUCCUCCACACGGCGCCAAGGGUCUCUGGCGAACCCAGUCGGCACCCCGUCCGACCCGCUG